rnacentral:rRNA from 1 species
ACUAGGAUUUAUCCUGGGGUCACAAUGGGCUUGAUUUGCAAACUUUAUUUAGCGAGGAACAAUUGGAGGGCAAGUCUGGUGCCAGCAGCCGCGGUAAUUCCAGCUCCAAUAGUGUAUAUUAAUGUUCCUGCAGUUAUUCGAUGCUCGUAGUUGGAUUUCUGGGGGCUGAGAUUGGAAGGUGGCCAAGGUCACCGCCGAACUCUUCCUUCAUCCACCUGUUAACGUUGUCCGGGAUUUGUUUCUCGGCUUCAGGCUCAGGUAUUUUACCCUUUCUAUAUAUUCAUUUAUUUAUCUUCUUUUUGAGUAAAUUAUAGUGUUUCAGGCAGGCGUGCGCCGGAAUACUUUAGCAUGGAAUAAUCGAAUUGGACCGUGUAUUCUUAUAGAAUUCUUCCUUAUUUGUUGGUUUCAAGGACACGGAAAUGGUUAAUAGGGAUAGUGUUUUCAGGGGAGGCAUUAGUAUUUAAUUUCCAGAGGUGAAAUUCUUUGAAAUAUUAAAGACUAACUUAUGCGAAAGCAUUUAUUUUGCCAAUAAUGUUUUCAUUAAUCAUUGAACGAAAGUUAGGGGAUCAAAGACGAUCAGAUACCGUCCUAGUCUUAACCAUAAACGUUGCCGACUAGGGAUCGGAGGGCGUGCACAUUCCGCCUUCGGCACCUUACGAGAAAUCAAAGUCUUUUGGGUUCUGGGGGUAGUAUGGUCGCAAGGCUGAAACUUAAAGGAAUUGACGGAAGGGCACCACCAGGAGUGGAGCUUGCGGCUCAAUUUGACUCAACACGGGAAAUCUUACCAGGUCCAGACAUAGCGAGGAUUGACAGAUUGAUAGCUCUUUCUUGAUUCUAUGGGUAUUUAUUUUAAUUUUGGUGGUGCAUGGCCGUUCUUAGUUGGUGGAGUGAUUUAUCUGGUUAAUUCCGUUAAACGAACGAGACCUCAGCCUGCUAAAUAGUUACCUGUCUUUCUUUUACGAGACUUGAUAACUUCUUAGAGGGACGUUGUGUGCAACCACAAGGAAGUUGAGGCAAUAACAGGUCUGUGAUGCCCUUAGAUGUCCUGGGCCGCACGCGUGCUACACUGAUACGUACAACAAGGUAUAUGCAUUUAUGCAUCGAUGCUGCUCCGAAAUAGACACAGCUAAAUCUUCUAAAAUACGUAUCGUGCUGCGGAUAGAUCGUUGAAAUUAUGGAUCUUGAAGGUGGAAUUCCUAGUAAGCGCGGGUCAUCAACCCGCGUUGAUUACGUCCCUGCCCUUUGUACACACCGCCCGUCGCUCCUACCAAUUUCGAGUGGCUCGGUGAACCUCUUUGGACUGUCGAGCAAUCGCGAAAUUAGAGUGAACCUGGUCAC